UACAGAGGCCCCAAGCAUUAUCCGGAAUCACUGGGCGUAAAGGGUGUGUAGGCGGUCGUGUUAGUCUUUCGUGAAAGGCUUUCGGCUUAACCGAGAGACCGCGGAGGAAACGGCACGACUCGAGGACGCGAGAGGUAGAGGGAACUCAUGGUGUAGGGGUGAAAUCCGUUGAUAUCAUGGGGAACACCAAAUGCGAAGGCACUCUACUGGCGCGCUCCUGACGCUCAAACACGAAAGCGUGGGAAUCGAACGGG
rnacentral:rRNA from 1 species